rnacentral:lncRNA from 1 species
GGACAGUCUUCUCUGCAGACACCAGCCUGGUGUCCUCCUUCAUCCCAGGCUGCCAGGCUAGGCAGGGGGCAGCGGCUGCCCUGGUCCUCACAGCCCUGGCUGCGGGGCUGGUGACAGCCAGAUCCUCAUGCUUCUGUGACCAGAGCGCUGCCUUCAGACACCUCUCUGCUGGCGUGUUCCUGGGUCCAUGAUGGAAGAAGGAAAAGUAUUUUUAAAAGACAAUCUAAAGCUCACACUGUGACUGCAACAUAAAAUGUGUUCACCUGAGGAGACUGCUUUCACCGUGAGUGUGUCACAGAUGGUAGAAACCUCAGAAGGCCACAGUCCAGAGUAGGGGCUCAAUGCAAUGCAAGCUGCUGGAACUGAAUAAAGGUGAAGGUAGGAAGACAGAGAAAGCAGGAAGCUGCGACAGCAGGAAGCUGUGAUGGGGGCAGAAGGUCUCUGAUGGUUCUGGUUUCCUGGGCACCUAGAAUAAGUGUGUCAUCAUUUGUUCUGAAGCUGACUUCUCUGAGCUGGAUGGCACCCUGGACAUCAACCAGCCCUUCACCUUCACGUCACACAGGAGGGACACUGGUCCACAGAGAGGAUGCCUGCUCUGGUCACCAGCUGGAGAGUGGCAGACCUUGGGUACCUGACCUUUGGACUCUGCCACGCAGAGCACUUCCUCAGUCCCUCCUGCUGCCCCUGGCAGGGUGGAGCUGGCAGGGCAGCUGAUCCAGGACCGUCCACUUCCAAGCCAGCAGGAGGAUGGAAAAGCAGAAUGGAGGGGAAACAACCUCCUUUGCAGGGCGUGACUCGGAAGUUGGACACAUCAUUUCCAGCCACAUUCCAUGGACCAGAAUUAGCCCUGUGACCAACUCUGGCUGCCAGAAAGUCUGGGAAAUACAGUCUCUGCUUGGGCGAUCAGGCAGGCAGUCAUAUCUUUGGGAACAUCUCUCACACCCUGGGAACACCUGAGCAGAAACUGAAGGACAUUUAACAGAUUCUCCUCUGUGUCUAAUAAGAAUUGCCCCCAUCAGUCAGGGCUCUCCUAGGUGCUGGGUACAUAGGUCAUCUAUAAACAACCCAGCAAUGGAGAGCACACCAUUCCCAGGCUGCAGAUGCAGAAACUGUGGCUCGGAGAGUUAAGCGUCUUGUUCAGAUUCAGUCAGCUGGUAGAUGGCAGGUCUGGGAUUGAGACCCAGGCCUGGCUGGUCCUGCCAGGACACAGUAUCACAGCUUUGACUGGGGGCUUCUUUUUGUUUACGUAUAUUUUUUAUGCUCAAUGUGCAUUCCUUUUGAAAUACACAGAAAAGGGAAAGAAGCCGGAGUCCUGCCUUGUGUAGGAGGGAUAAGUUAGAGGUGUGCACCGGGAUAAAUCUGCCUCCCGCGCUGGCUCUGGCCCUGGCCCUGAUCCUCCUCCUG